GGUUAAGUUACAAAGGGCGCACGGUGGAUGCCUUGGCACUAGGAGCCGAUGAAGGACGGAACUAAUACCGAUAUGCUUCGGGGAGCUAUA
rnacentral:rRNA from 1 species